UGAAAGUUAGCUCACUGGAUAGAGCGAUCGACUCAUAAUCGAUUGGUUGCAGGUUCGAUUCCUGCACUUUCCA
rnacentral:tRNA from 1 species